rnacentral:rRNA from 1 species
UCUUCUUUGCUGGCGACCGGCGCACGGGUGAGUAACACGUAUCCAACCUGCCCUUUACUCGGGGAUAGCCUUUCGAAAGAAAGAUUAAUACCCGAUAGCAUAAUGAUUCCGCAUGGUUUCAUUAUUAAAGGAUUCCGGUAAAGGAUGGGGAUGCGUUCCAUUAGGUUGUUGGUGAGGUAACGGCCCACCAAGCCUUCGAUGGAUAGGGGUUCUGAGAGGAAGGUCCCCCACAUUGGAACUGAGACACGGUCCAA